rnacentral:rRNA from 1 species
GACGAACGCUGGCGGCGUGCUUAACACAUGCAAGUCGAACGGAAAGGCCCUGCUUUUGUGGGGUGCUCGAGUGGCGAACGGGUGAGUAACACGUGAGUAACCCGCCCUUGACAGUGGGGGAACUUCAGGAGACUGGGGCUAAUACCGCAUAGGAGCUCCUGCUGCAUGGUGGGGGUUGGAAAGUUUCGGCGGUUGGGGAUGGAUUGGCUGGUUAUCGGCUGGUUGGGGGGGUAGUGGCUUACCAAGGCUUAGACGGGUAGCCGGCCUGGGAGGUUGACCGGCCACCUGGGGCCUGCGGUACGGCCCAGUCUCCUACCGGAGGCAGUAGGGGGGAACCUGGCGCAACGGGGGGGCGUGUGAGGUAGAAACGCCGCGUUCGUGAUAAUGGCUUAUGGGGGGUAAACCGAUUUGGCCUGUGACAAAGCGUGAGUGACGGUAAUGGGUCAAGAAGCCCCGGCUAACUACGUG